CUCGGACUUCUCCGUAUUCGCAUCAUUCGUGGUGUUAAUCUUGCUGUUCGUGAUGUUCGCAGUAGUGAUCCUUAUGUUGUCAUCAAGAUGGGAAAGCAAAAACUGAAGACAAGGGUGAUAAAGAAGGAUGUUAAUCCUGUAUGGAAUGAAGAUCUAACUCUUUCUAUCAGUGAUCCGAAUCUUCCAAUUAAGCUGACCGUUUACGAUCACGACACAUUUAGCAAGGAUGAUAAAAUGG
rnacentral:misc_RNA from 1 species